GCCUGGGUGCUCAAUGGUUAAGCACUGGGCUGUUAACCCAAUGGUUGGUGAUUUGAACUCACCCAGCAGCU
rnacentral:tRNA from 1 species